rnacentral:snRNA from 1 species
UGAUGUGAGGGUGAUCUGGCUGCAACAUCUGUCACCCCAUUGAUUGCCAGGAUUGAUUUGGCUGAUCUGGUUGGCUAGGUGGGUGUCCCCUUCCUCCCUCACCACUCCAUAUGCAUCCCUCCCGAAGUUGCUCACUCGGUUGAAGAGGAUAGCCAUCCCUGAUAGAGGAGGACCAGUCUUCAGUCAGUGGUAUAUGAGUAGCUGCACUCCCCGUCUAGAACCUCCAAACAAGCUCUUAAGGUCCAUCCUCCAACCUUUUUUAUAAGGAAAUAGGAUCUUAGACAUUAACAUAACUGCCAUAGGUCACCUGUGGUAAGUAU